AUGUAUCAAUUUGGAUACGCGUUGAAGUUCACCAUACAAAUUGACGCAGCUGCUAAACUGAUAAAUUCCCAGCAAUGCCAGAGUAACUUCCUUCGGAUUGUUUAUUGACAAUUUAUAAAGCUCAGGACUCCAGUAUUCAUACAUACCAAUUCCCAAGAUAUCUAAAUAUUCUAAUAUUACAAAAGAUAAGCAGCACGCGAGAGAGAGAGAGAGAGA
rnacentral:misc_RNA from 1 species